CCGAGCUGCCGUGCGCAAGCAAAAGACCCCAGGGAAGCCCUGCAUCCCCUGUCCCGAUCGUCCCCGUUGCCGCACGCCCUGGUUGGGGCGAUUGGAUCUCGCCGAAGAGCUUCGCCGUUCGCCGGGCAGUUGCGCCACCAUCGCCAGAACGCCGCCGCCGCCACCGCCGCCCAACUUCGCCGGAGCACCACCAUGGUUCACCUCAUUGCUGUCGCCUACGGAGGGAGCCCCGUCGCCGUUGAACACCACCGCCGCCUCUGCCGCUCGACACCGCACCCGCCCGUCACUUCACCUUCGCCAGAGACCCACCGGAGGAGCGCCGCCGCCAACGCCCGAGACCGCCGCCGCCGUCCUCUGCUUCUGAUUGUCCGGAGUGCGACGCGAACUAUUGUCAGGAGUGUGACCUUCUGAACCAGAACC